ACAACAUUGGGACCGUCGGUCUACUGAGCAAUUCCUCGCUUGGUGGAAGAUCUUUCCUUUUGUCGU
rnacentral:pre_miRNA from 1 species